AGAGAACGCACUGGUCAUAGCAAACAGCCUCUUCCAACAACACACGAGAAGACUCUACACAUGGACAUCACCAGAUAGUCAACACCAAAAUCAGAUUGAUUAUAUUCUUUGCAGCCAAAGAUGGAGAAGCUCUAUACAGUCAGCAAAACCAAGACUAGGAGCUGACUGUGGCUCAGAUCAUGAACUCCUUAUUGCCAAAUUCAGACUUAAAUUGAAGAAAGUAGGGAAAUCCACUAGACCAUUCAGAAACCAGUCCACCAUCUGCAGCCAGCUGGAUCCAGUGGGUCUUGGUGCCGCCUGCCAUCAGAAAUCUGAACUGUGCACUGAUCGCUUGCUCUGUGCUCCACUGCCAAGACCAAACCCGCUUUUUGCUCAGGAGUCCCAGGAGUUUCAGGAAAACAUUUUGCAACAACAUGGGGUUGGCCUGUUGAAAAAAGUGUUACUUUGAGGAAGCAUUGCUAAGAAACCAAGAGAGAGAAACCAGGUACCAGACAUGUCAUCUGAUCUACUGGAUUACUCACCUGUCACUCAUUGCAUAUUCCUAACCACUGGACAUCAGGGAAGCCCCUGUUCAUGGAUUCUUGAGGGUUAAAGACCCCCAAGAUGAAUAAGCUAGCGUAAGAAGUGAAGAAUGGCUCUUGGAAUUGUGCAACGUGACAGUCCUGCUUGCCAGGAAAGCCAGGAAAGCCAGACCGAGGACAAAGGAAACAGAGGAGAGCAGCAACAAGAGAACAGAGGAAGAUGGAUAUAGCUCUGGUCAACUAGCCUGAAACUCACAAAGACCUCCUAUUGGAGAGACCUCCUUUCAGCAUCAUCACCCCACCUCAUUAGAAAAUCCACGAGGAAGAACUCAGUUUGACCCAGCCUGGCCAUAUGCCCAUCUCUGUGGCUGAAGGAGUAGAGUACCAUGAUUCACAGCCACCAGUGGGGGAGGAGCAGCUUCUCAAAAGCAAGAAGGAAAAGAGUGCUGGCCUGACAAAAACCACAGAGGGUAAACUCCUUGGACAGCCAGAUUUCUGUAAGUCAAGCUGCUGUGUAAUAUCAACCUUAUCAAAAGUUUCAAUAAACAUUUACAGAAUCAAUUUGAAAGUGCUGGUCUGCCUAGUGUUCUGCAGUGACGUAGCAUUUUACAUUACUGGGCAACUGGCAAAAAAAACGUAUUGAUGUGGUUUUCUUAGAACAUAGCAACGUGCCACUUGGAGAAAGAAAAGAAAGUGGCAGCCAGCAACCUGUCACCUGUGGAACCUUCAGCUCUAUAAAUACACUUCUUGUCCAGGCUUUUGAGCAAAGUGCCUUGAUUCAAUAGUAGUUGCU
ensembl:lncRNA